AUCACAACAGUAGCCUGCCGUAUGCAGGAAGAAGUUGCUGUAAAUGUGCCCCACGUUAGAUCUGCUGCUCUUUCUACGUAUUGUAAGUUUAGGAAUGUCUGCAUUUCAGUGGACGACAAAUUUGGGAUUCUGCCACAGCUUAAAUUCAACGUAAUGGAUGGCUUUUCCCCAAUCCUGCAAUACAUUCUGAGAGAACGGACUCUUGUAAGUCCAAGUGUCCAGGGCCCAACUGCAGAAAAAAAGCAUUCAGGCAGAAGGCCUGUUCUGUGGGAAGAAAAAAAAAAAACAAAAACAAAAAACAAAAAACACAAGUGUUUGUAACAGGGCCGUGGCAGAUACUUGAAUGAGUAAGCCUGGUAUAAUAAGCUCAUCCAAAUCAGGAUGGAAAAUCAUAUGUAGUAUAACACUAAUCAUUAAAGCUAUUGCAUCUUUAAUGGGUUUGUUUCUAAAUACUGCUAUGAAAUCUCUUACAGAUUUUUUUUUUCAGUGUUAAUUUUUUCCAUCUUCAGUGCAGUCGCUGUGCUAUUAGCGCCAUUUGUGCUACAAGCUGUUUACACUAAAGCCUCGAAGCGUAGUUGGUAGUGUUACUAUUUUUAACAUUUUAUCAUGCUGGGGAAUCCGAAUCUGAUAGGUACCCGGCCAUUUUUCUGUCUGAAUGCCUGGUCCCGUGUUUGCCCUGGCUUCCUUGAAGCUGUCGGGCAGCUGGGGUGGAGGCAUGAAACACCUGCCCUGCAGCAGCCGUGGGGUUUUGCAUCGCAGGCAGGAGCAAGGCAUUGAUCGCAGCGUCUGGGCUCCCUACCAAACAUGCAGUGCCUUCCGUGCCACAGGUGAAAUAAGUAUACCAUAAAGGUAUUUAAUUAAUUUGCUGUUAAUUGUCUGAAAAGAAGAUUAGGAUGCUGCUGAACAAGAUAGGAGAAGCCUACGUGCUGCUGUUUUAUUGGAUUGCUGGCAACAGCCCUCCACUUUGGUCUUAACGCUGCAACAGUACAUCAUGCUUUACUAAUUAUUGUCUCAUUUGCAUAUCGAGUGGAAUUCCCUGUUAUAGAAAUUGGUGAAACACUCUUCAACUAUUUAUGUUGAUAAUUAAGUGUUGAGGUGCCUGGACUUUAAGCUGCAAUUGUAAUCAGAACUACUUACAGCUCACAGUAAACUGCACUAAUUAUAGCCAAGGUAUCAAAUUUUUAAUAGCUGCUUGGAUAAGUCUUUUUUUCUCUCUUAUUUCAUAGCUUUAUCAGACAAAAUUACAAAUGGUGAAAUAAAUUAACUAGUUCUGUCUUAAAAGCUUCCA
rnacentral:lncRNA from 1 species